rnacentral:rRNA from 1 species
AUGAAAUUUCUCUAUGUCUUACCUCGCUGGGAGGGUUCCGCUUCAGAAUCUAGAGUCCUACGCAACUCCAUGAGAACUAAUCGCCAAGAUGCAUUUGUUGUACCUCAUGGAAGAUAUUACUUAGCUGAUGCUGGUUACACAAAUGGACCUGGAUUUCUAGCACCAUUCAGAUCCACUCGAUAUCACUUGAAAGAGUGGGCAUCAAGUCAGCAACGACCCCAAAAUGCCAAAGAGCUAUAUAACUUGCGCCACUCUUGUGCUAGAAAUGUAGUAGAGAGAACUUCAGGAACCAACUAUCCAAUGACAUAUUUGUUGAAUAUGUAG